CGCCCCUCUUGCGCUGGAGCUGCCGCAGCGCCCCCUGCCGGCGGAGCUGGCGCAGACCGAGGGACCCACCGCGCAGUGCUCAGAACCUGGGCUUUGGUUUUGACUGUUUACCCUUGAGCUGAAAUGCGGCAGUCAAGCUCCAUGUCUAUUGGUAGCGAGUGAUUCCUUGUUAAAGACAGGAGAAAGGAUUUCUCUAUGAUAAAUACAGGACUUACUGAAAAUUGAACUAGUCAAAGCCGGGUGUGGCAGUGCGCACCUGCAAUCCCACCACUCCAGGAGGCUGAGGCAGGAGGACCACAAGCGUGAAGCCCGGCUUUCAUUGGGAAACUUCGCGACUUACUGAGACCCGCUCUCGGAUUUCUUUAAAAAGGCAAAAGGGUGGGGGAUGUAGCUCAGUGCAAAGGGUCUGGGUUCAAACCCGCUACCAAAGCAAGAGACUUCAUCUUCCCAGGAAGAGGGAGACAAACUUCAUCUUGCAUCUCUGCCAAGUGUUAGGUCAUCUCGGUGCUCAGCGAGGCUGUGGCGCCGGAGUCGGGUUGCUGGGUCUCCCUGGAGAAUCUUCCGGGCCCGGGUCGGCGCAGGCUAACUGGGAAGCCAGCCCCGCGGCCCCGAGGCCACCACCACCCUGCUGUGGACACGGGACUGUUCAGCUCAGCCGGAGUGGGAUCUCGCAGGAGCAUUCGGGAGCCAUGGGCGGGCUAACUGGAAGUACAGUGGACCCUUGACUUAGGGACGUGAUCAGUUCCGGAGGGCUGGUUGUAACUCAAGUUGGUGCUCAGCCACUCUUUCAGGAAACAGUUGCGGAGCACUGACUGCCGGCCCGGUCCGGCUCCGGAGGCUGGAGAUGUAAGAAGAAGCAGCAGAGCGGAUUUUCUGUCCCUCAGUUCCCAGGACAGUGUGGCACAGUGGCUGAUGCUGGUGCCGAAGUCAGAGGAUCAGAGCUUCAGGCUGGGACAUAUCUGGAUCCUGCUGCAGCAAAUAUUCACAGUAUUUCUACAGACAGCCAGGACAGAGCUUUGAACAGGCGGUUCACCGAAUCCAGCAGUGUGCUGGUCCUGGCUUACCAACCAGCUGCUUGGAAAAGAGCAGAAGUCCUCAGUUACAGACAGAUCAUCAGACUAUAUCUGUCAAAGAUCUCAGUGAAUGUGGAAAGUGUCGUGAAAAUGAGAAGCCGUUCAAAACAAGCAGAACAGAAUAGGAGGAGACUGAGAUACAAACAAGUUGAGUGAUUCACUCCAAGUCCUCCAGUUAGUAGAGGGCAGAGUCAGAUGGUGAGCUCCGUGUGUGACUUUGGGCCUGUGACCCACAGAGGCUGAGCCAUGGGGGACUCGCUCCAUCACGCAGCAUGAAAGCCUGACGUGGUGAGAACCUGGUGAGGAGAACAUGCAGGAGGCACCACCAAGUGGCAGAGGCAGGCGGCUUGCAAGACACACGGCUUUCAUCCUGAGAACAACGGAACUACUGAAGGAACUUAGCGAAGAAGGGAUGGGCAGGGGUGACAGUGGGACUUAUCCAUGUGGCUUUUGGCUUAGAGACGCAGGACAGGUGGCAGCUCUGUCCUGAAAUGGGAGCAGGAGACGCAGACUAAGCUGCAAUUGGGAGUAGGCACUGAGGGGAGGGCCGAGGCUCAGGGGGUUUGGAUUCAACUCCUCAGUGUAAAGUUGACAACCGGUGAGGUUGUACAGGAGACAGGGACAGAGGAGCUCAGACUGUGAAAGGACAGGCAGAGAAAAGCCCUGGCCCGCCCCCCAAAAUGGUCAGAGAGGUAGCUGGAAAAUCAGAAAUAGACGACAUAUUAAAACUUGUAGCAGGCUGGGGAUGUAGCCUGGUGGUAAAGCAUGCAUGAAGCCCUGGAUUACACACACACACACACACACACACACACACACACACAUAACUUGCUCACUGCUCCCACACAUGCUCAUUGCUUGGGUCCUGUUAUUAGAAAUAAGUUUACUUAUGACAAAAUGUGACUUGUUUAUAUAUGAAACAAGCAGCGAUUCCUCAUUUGGAUCACAGGGCU
ensembl:lncRNA